rnacentral:rRNA from 1 species
GACGAACGCUGGCGGCAUGCCUAAUACAUGCAAGUCGAGCGAACAGAUGAAGUGCUUGCACUUCUGACGUUAGCGGCGAACGGGUGAGUAACACGUAAGGAAUCUACCUAUAAGCGGGGAUAACAUUCGGAAACGGGUGCUAAUACCGCAUAAUAUCUUCUUCCGCAUGGAAGAAGAUUGAAAGACGGCUCUGCUGUCACUUAUAGAUGACCUUGCGGUGCAUUAGUUCGUUGGUGGGGUAAUGGCCUACCAAGACGAUGAUGCAUAGCCCACCUCGGAGGGUGAUCGGACACAUGGGGACUGGGAAGCGGCCCGAGCUCCGCAGGGAGGCAGCAGUAGGGAAUCUUCCGCAAUGGGCGAAAGCCUGACGGAGCAAUGCCGCGUGAGUGAAGAAGGCCUUCGGAUCGUAAAACUCUGUUAUAAGAGAAGAACAAAUUGUAGAGUAACUGCUACAGUCUUGACGGUAUCUUAUCAGAAAGCCACGGCUAACUACUUGCCAGCCGCCGCCGUAA